AGUUCCCGGCCGCGCCCGUCCGUCCGAUCCACGCCCCGCUCCUCCGAUCUCCGAUCCACGGCGCACUCGCCUACCCCACACCAAUCGUCUCCUCGCGUGCAGCUCAGAAGCUUCGCGCGAGCUCCUCGACGAACUCCAGACUCCCCUUCUUCUCUCGCUCCGCCCACCUGCUCCUCACCCCUCCACCUACCCCUAACCGCGACUAGCAGCAGUCCUCCUGCCGACGCCGGUGUGGCCCACCCCCCUCCCCCCGGCGCUAGCGGCGAAAGAACUGACGCUCUUCCUCACCUCCGUAGUACCACCGGCGCCCGCGCCAUCCACCCCGGUGCCACCAACUGACGCUCUCAUUUCAUGCACCAACUGCUGUUCAACGGUUAAGACGCUUGGCUAAUUUUGAAGCCUUAAAAUUCUCCAAGCCAAUUGCAUCUUUAUCUGAGACCUUAGUUUCUCGAAUGAAAGAGAAAAGUGUUGAGAGCAAUGGAAAAUAUAUCUCAGUGCAUCUUCGUUUUGAGGAGGAUAUGGUUGCCUUCUCAUGUUGUGUCUAUGAUGGUGGUGAUGAGGAGAAGAAAGAGAUGGAUACAUCCAGAGAAAAAAGGUUGGAGAGGAAAGUUUACUAAGAGAGGACGGGUAAUAAAGCCAUGAGUGAUAAGAAUGAAUGGAAAAUGUCCGCUAACACCUUUGGAGGUUCAUUUAGGAUCACUGCACUGUUUACCUUGAAGAUUUUGGCCUUUGUCUGGUAGCAGAUUUGGCAAGGAACCUGGUGGCCUUCACUUAUUUAUCCUUGAUUGUCAUACAGGUCAGUUCUGCCUUUUUCACACAUACAGCACAAAAUUUUUACCGUUUCACAAAAUAAUUGUCCCCACAGCUAGCAAUUUACAUAUCGUAAACACAUGCGAAGUCCCGGCUUAUUGCUUGCCAUAUUGGAUCUGGUGGGUUUUCUAAAUGACAAAAUAUUUUAUUUCCUUACUCACCUAAAAGUAGUGAAGCAAGAAAGAGUUGCCUGCAUUCUUUCUGUUGAAAACAGCAUGGUGAUUCUAUAUACGGUUUUUAGUGACGAUGUGUUAACUACUCAAAUGAUGUUUUAAAUGUUGAGUACUAAAACCAGAAGAAUCCCUCAUAAUUUUUUGCAUGACUUUGUCAUUUCGUUCAAAAUCAAAUGCAACUACAUCAUCAGACUAAUUCUGUUAUCAUCACGUUCCCACUGGUGGCUUCCCUCUCCCCGAGAAAACCGACCCUCUUGGUACCAUUGCUGCUGCUCCAUGGGGAUUUGCUUUGAUUGUGCCAAUUUCAUACACAUACAUAGCCAUGAUGGGCUCCCAGGGACUCACCGAUGCUUCACAGAUUGCGAUACUGAAUGCAAACUACAUGGCAAAACGUCUAGAAGUACUUUAUAUUCAUGACAGCAUACCCUUAGCAUGAAUUUUGCAGAAGCAUUGCUAAUUCCUGUUGUUCUAUGUUGUCAAGAACAUGUCAAAUCUCUCCUACAUGAUGCACAAUGUUUCUUGCUGUGAAAAGUAAAGAUCCAUCAAAUAACUAUGCCUUAACA